rnacentral:rRNA from 1 species
AAUGAACGCUGGCGGCGUGCCUAACACAUGCAAGUCGCACGAGAAAGGGGCCGCAAGGCUCCCGGUAAAGUGGCGAACGGGUGAGUAACGCGUAGGUAAUCUGCUCUCGAGUGGGGAAUAACCUGGCGAAAGCCGGGCUAAUACCGCAUAACAUCCUUGGGCUUAUGGGUUCGAGGAGCACAGGUGGCGAGCUUCGAGCGCUGCCGCUUGAGAAGGAGCCUGCGUCCCAUUAGCUAGUUGGUGGGGUAAUGGCCCACCAAGGCUUCGAUGGGUAGCCGGGCUGAGAGGCUGUCCGGCCACACUGGAACUGAGACACGGUCCAGACUCCUACGGGAGGCAGCAGUGGGGAAUAUUGCGCAAUGGGGGAAACCCUGACGCAGCGACGCCGCGUGGGCGAUGAAGGCCUUCGGGUCGUAAAGCCCUGUCGAGCGGGACGAACCGCGCGAGCUCUAACAUAGCUCGCGUCUGACGGUACCGCUUGAGGAAGCCCCGGCUAACUCCGUGCCAGCAGCCGCGGUAAUAC